AUUGAACGCUGGCGGCAUGCCUUACACAUGCAAGUCGAACGGCAGCGCGGGAGCAAUCCUGGCGGCGAGUGGCGAACGGGUGAGUAAUAUAUCGGAACGUGCCCAGUAGUGGGGGAUAGCCCGGCGAAAGCCGGAUUAAUACCGCAUGAGACCUGAGGGUGAAAGUGGGGGAUCGCAAGACCUCGCGCUAUUGGAGCGGCCGAUAUCAGAUUAGCUAGUUGGUGGGGUAAAGGCCUACCAAGGCAACGAUCUGUAGUUGGUCUGAGAGGACGACCAGCCACACUGGGACUGAGACACGGUCCAGACUCCUACGGGAGGCAGCAGUAGGGAAUAUUGGACAAUGGGGGCAACCCUGAUCCAGCCAUGCCGCGUGAGUGAAGAAGGCCCUCGGGUUGUAAAGCUCUUUUGUCCGGAAAGAAAGCAAUCGGUUAAUACCCGGUUGUCCUGACGGUACCGGAAGAAUAAGCACCGGCUAACUUCGUGCCAGCAGCCGCGGUAAAG
rnacentral:rRNA from 1 species